AAUAGCUGUAUUCUUGAAAUAUUUGCACAUUUUCAACAGAUUUAUUAUCAAAAAUAUUUUCGUUUUGGGUGUUAAUGAAAAAUGAUUUUAGAUUUUGAGUGAAGAAAUUAUUCUUUUGACUGUUUUGAUUGCCUGCGAUAAAACAUUUUCAUUGGAAAUGACUCAGGAAAAAAACUGCUUUAGAGAGGAGGACAUAAAUGAACGCCACUGUGUUUUGUUUUAGAAUAGAAUAGAAUAAACCUUUAUUAUCCCACGAAUGAGAAAUUUAGGUGUUACAGAGCUCUUGCACAAAAACGUAAUAUAGAACAAUAGGAGCAGGUAGAUACACAAAGAUAUAAAUACAAAUGUACAAAAGUUUUGGAAAUAAAUAAAGAUGUACAGAGAUAUGUACAAAAUGUACAGAGAUAUGUACACAAGUGCGGGGGUGGGGUGGGGUGUGAAUGAUCCUGGUUACAGCAUGUGAUAUGUCAGUUAAACAUAUAUGAGUAAAAAAUACUCACGCUAAACUGUUAUAAUGUCUGACAGCCGCUGGUAAGAAUGACCUGCGGUAGCGCUCCUUCCUACACUGUGGGUGUAGAAGUCUAUUGCUGAAUGAGCUGCUCAGAGCUCGUACAGUCUCAUGCAGGGGGUGGGAGGUGUUGUCCAUAAUGGAUGUUAGCUUAGACCGCAUCCUCUCAUCCCCAACCUGCUCGAUGGAUUUCAGUGGGCAGCCCAGGACAGAGCCGGAUCCCCUCCACUCGCCUUGCUCCGUCCGGUGAUGAUAUUAAGUCCCUUCCACACCCCUCUUGUGUUGCUCUGCUGGAGCUGCUCCUCCAGCUUCCUCUUGUAUCUGUUCUUUCUUUAGUGUGAUAUCUCAUUUCUUUGUUUAAUCUAUAAGCUUGGUUUGCUCUGAAUGUCUUGGGUGACGAUUGUUAUGAUCGCUGAACGCAGGAUAAACAACUGUUACUCGUCUGUAAGUGAAAGUGAAAGGAAAGCCAGAGUCGCCAUUUUAGCAAGAAACACGAAUAAGAUUCUGGAAAAAUAUCAAGAUAUUUUGUAUUACAAGAGGCGCCAGCAGGAAUCAUCUGCUCUGGAUCCCCACCAAAAUGGAGGAACCUGCUUCUGAAAUGACCCCCCCUGUGGGGUGUAAAUCAAAGGAGCCUGAGAGGGAAAUUUAGGGGUUGGUGGCAGGAUUGGCCCUCACACUGGUGUGUUCAGGCUAGUGUGGUGCUGAGGUAUCACCCGCUGCACUCAGGCUCUCAUCCCUGAGGCGGUUUGUACUGUGGUGGGUGCAGUGACACACUGUAAUCAGCAUGUAAUCGCCUCCACUGCAAUAUUCCUCUUGUAAACCACCUUGGUUGUAGUUUCCUAGAUUUAGUUUUGCUGGAAACAGGUAUGAAGUCCUCUUGCAAUAAUGUACUUUUUAAAACUUCUCAUGCCUCUUCAACAGUUAUUUAACAUCCAGUUUACAGUUUCUACUUUCAGUCUCAUACCAUUAAAGUUGGCCUUCCUAACACUGUAUACUUUUGUUUUGGCCUUUACUCUUUGGACAACAUGAAAACAUGAUUUACAGGAACCUUUCAUACAGGAAUCUUAAUGUUAGGUCAGACAGUUUAUUUCACAUGAAAUCUAACAGUAAACAAGCCUGUUUGCAUGAAGAGCUUCACGGCAGGUUAAGCAGAAGUCUGAAGGUUUAAUGUGAUUUUGCAUUAUAUGAAUUAUAUUUAUAUAAUGAGGAUUUGCUUCCUCUCAUUGU